AAGUCGUAACAAGGUUUCCGUAGGUGAACCUGCGGAAGGAUCAUUAACACGUGAAAACGUAUUAAAUCUACCUUGCAACAAUCUGUGCUUUCACCCGCUACCUUUCUCUUGGUAUUGUUCUAUACGAUAUGUAGUAGGAUAGUAUUGUCUUCGGAUGGUACUAUGCAAUUGUAUAGAUACUGAGGCUUCGAGCCUAAGAUAUCAUUUGAUUGGCUUUUUUUCUUAUUUCCCCUACUACAAAUAAACUAAAUCUAACCUAUUUCACCUUUUUAAACCAUUAUGACUGAUGUAAGUUGAUUGUAAGAAAUUACAUUGUCAACACCAUUUAUCUAAACUAAGCACAACUCUUAGCAAUGGAUAUCUUGGUUCUC
rnacentral:misc_RNA from 1 species